rnacentral:lncRNA from 1 species
CUAAUCCCCUUUUUAUUUUUUUUACUUUGUCUUUUUCCUCCAGCCUUAACCCUAGUCGCCGCUCCUAUUUUUUUCCUUCAUUCAAGCCGCUGUUUUCCCCGUCGACAACCCCUCACCCCUUCUAUUCUUCCUUCUUCCCUUCGCCGCCAUCCAUCCACCCUUCCCAUGCUUGCACUUAACCUCUUCCUCCUUUCUACUUUCCUCCUCCACGCACACCCCAACCACCACAGCCGUCCCAUUCACACGCCGCCAGCCUCCUUCCUCCUCCCCAUUGUACUCUCGCUCUCGUCAGAACUACCACCCC